rnacentral:rRNA from 1 species
GGGAGGUAAAUUUCUCCUAAGGCUAAAUAUUGGCCAGAGCACCGAUAGCGCACAAGUAGAGUGAUCGAAAGAUGAAAAGCACUUUGGAAAGAGAGUUAAAAAGCACGUGAAAUUGUUAAAAGGGAAGGGAUUGCAACCAGACUUGCUCGCGGUGUUCCGCCGGUCUUCUGACCGGUCUACUCGCCGCGUUGCAGGCCAGCAUCGUCUGGUGCCGCUGGAUAAGACUGGAGGAAUGUAGCUUCGAU